AUCCUUGUCCUAAGCUAACCCUACUCCAAAUUUGUUUCUAAACCAAUCUGGUCAGCGAAAAGACGUCGUUGUUCUUACGCCAAGCGACGGUAGGUUUUCGUCGCUUGGCGUAAGAACAACGUCUGUGAGCAGGCUAAUCUCAGUGGUGCCAAUUCUCGAUUUAGGAUUUAGGCCGCUAAUUUAGUCCACGUGCUAUGUCACAGAUUGUAUGUUCUUUUGGUAAAGACCGCGCAAAGAAAAAAGCUACGACGAGCAACGUGUGACGUCAUCACACAGUUCUUCCACUGCAUGCAUCCACUCUCCUCCCUCCCCCCAAGAAGUCUUUAACCCCCUCCCCCAAAUAGUGCUAUGGCGUGCAAGCGAAGCGACACUAUUUUACAAUUUGUUUCAUUGCUGUAUGUAACCCAUAGACCGUACCAUUGUAGGUAUUUCUGUUUUCAAAAUAAUGACGUCGAGGCUUGCGUGUAUGUAACUUGUGUACGCUCCAGUAAUUCUGCACAUGACCUAUAAAAGUUGUUUACUCGUAAUGCUUUCAACACCCAAAAUUUUUAAAAUAAAGUUUAAGAAUUUUACAAAGACAUAUUUUGAAUACUAUCCGUGAGAAAAUCUUCAACCGUAAAGAAAUUUUUCGUGCGUUUUGAAACCGCGUAUUGCUGAGCCACGUUGAAUGUGCAUUGUCGAAAGUUAUAUAAAGGGGCUCGUUAUAAACCCCAACACAUUCAUAAUCUUCUUAUACUGUCAAGCAGACAAGAUUGGUCACUCGAGUUGAAAUAUUUAGGUGCGUAUGUAAUGUCAUGUAUAUGCUAUUAUGGUAGAUCUAUAAUUCUGGGUAAAUAUCAAGAUUUUGUUGGCAGCUCACUCGAUUGAAUAAUAGUUGAAGGGAUUUGUAGAUAGAUAUCGAGUGGAAAUUUU